CUUCUUCGCAUCCUCGCGACUAAUGACAACCGACACCCCCAUGGGUGAAGCCUCUCAUUAGCCGCGCGAACCUCUGCAAUGAAGAUCAUUUAUAGCAACAAUACAAUAGUUUCCAUUGAAUUGCUGCCGUCUGGUUGAAAAAAGGGGCCAUCAAGGGCCCCCCUU
rfam:Microbacterium sp. STBG005 Ion018_assembly_c2319, whole genome shotgun sequence.